UUAAUUGAAACCAAAAAGAGGUAUAUUACUGUUAAUAAUAUUAUUGAGUUAAACUCCGAUUAAA
rnacentral:tRNA from 1 species